rnacentral:rRNA from 1 species
GAAAUGCGAUAAGUAAUGUGAAUUGCAGAAUUCAGUGAAUCAUCGAAUCUUUGAACGCACCUUGCGCCCUUUGGUAUUCCGAAGGGCAUGCCUGUUUGAGUGUCAUUAAAUUCUCAACCUUGUGAACUUUGUUUGCCAGGCUUGGAUGUGAGGGUUUUUGCUGGCUUCCAUUCAGUUGGAUGGUCUGCUCCCUUUAAAUUCAUUAGUGGGAUCCUUUGUGGAUGGUCACUUGGUGUGAUAAUUAUCUACGCCGCCUGACUCUGAAGCAAGAAUUGUGGGAACCUGCUUAUAACCGUCUCUUCAGAGACUAUCUUUGACAAUUUGACCUCAAAUCAGGUAGGACUACCCGCUGAACUUAA